CCCGGCGACCGGCGCACGGUGAGUAACACGUAUGAAACCUGCCCGUAGCAGGGGGAUAAGCGGAAGAAAUUCCGUCUAAUACCGCGUAACAACCCAUGGAGGCAUCUCUGUGGGUUUAAAGGAAGCGAUUCCGGCUACGGAUGGUCAUGCGUCGCAUUAGCCUGUUGGCGGGGUAACGGCCCACCAAGGCGACGAUGCGUAGGGGUUCUGAGAGGAAGGUCCCCCACCACUGGUACUGAGACACGGACCAGACUCCUACGGAAGGCAGCAG
rnacentral:rRNA from 1 species